AGAGUUUGAUCCUGGCUCAGAUUGAACGCUGGCGGCAGGCCUAACACAUGCAAGUCGAGCGGAAACGAGUUAACUGAACCUUCGGGGAACGUUAACGGCGUCGAGCGGCGGACGGGUGAGUAAUGCCUGGGAAAUUGCCCUGAUGUGGGGGAUAACCAUUGGAAACGAUGGCUAAUACCGCAUAAUAGCUUCGGCUCAAAGAGGGGGACCUUCGGGCCUCUCGCGUCAGGAUAUGCCCAGGUGGGAUUAGCUAGUUGGUGAGGUAAUGGCUCACCAAGGCGACGAUCCCUAGCUGGUCUGAGAGGAUGAUCAGCCACACUGGAACUGAGACACGGUCCAGACUCCUACGGGAGGCAGCAGUGGGGAAUAUUGCACAAUGGGCGCAAGCCUGAUGCAGCCAUGCCGCGUGUGUGAAGAAGGCCUUCGGGUUGUAAAGCACUUUCAGCCGUGAGGAAGGCGGUGUAGUUAAUAGCUGCAUCAUUUGACGUUAGCGGCAGAAGAAGCACCGGCUAACUCCGUGCCAGCAGCCGCGGUAAUAC
rnacentral:rRNA from 1 species